UCGGAACAGUGCCACCUAUAUACCUAGUCUUAAAGAUAUUUCUAGCUAAUUUUCAUAAUUGUUCAGAGAAGGAUAACAUCAAACAUGUUUAAUUAUAUUUCAUUUCUAAAUUAUAAUACUUACCAAAGGAGUACACUUACCUAGCGAUAAUACGAUUCUUGAGUUCAUUAUCGUCGACGACUACAUUCUUCUUAAUGUAAGUAGUAUGCGACUUGUCAGUAAUACACUGGUUCGUCUCUUGACGAUGCAAGAGGAUCUGAGUGGCGCUAUCGAUGUCCCCCUUGGAAAUUGCGAUGCAGUGUUUGAUCUGGAAAUGGAUUUAAAUUCAUUCAACCGUAUUAAAAAUUCUUUAUAUUUGACAACAAACUAAUACUUACCUCGGCGAUUGCCGAAUCCGGAAACAUUUCCUGGAGCACCUCAGUCUCGUCGAGGAAGUAGUCGCAAGUGGAGCUGGAGCUAUCGGUUGAGCCUCCAUCGCUAGUCUCCGAAAGAUGUUGAGAACGCUUGUUGCCGCCACAGCCGCCGCUGCUGCUGCUGUUCGAAGAGAGCUCGUCUUUUUCGGAAGUUGACGAGUUGCGAGCACGCAGCUUGGACUCCGGAAUAAUGCUGGAGAGGCUCAGAGAACUGUAAAUAUAAUUCAUAUUAAAUGUAACAACUUCUGGCAAAACAAUGAGAAUGAAAACAUACUUCAGCGAUAAGUUGACGGCGUCUGGGUUUUCCUGGGUUUUCUCCAUAUCGGUAAGCUCAUUGGCCAGCUUGUAGAUCCAGUCACAGAUGAUGCCCUGGUCAAUGGUUGAAAACUCCUCGAAGUAGGCUCCCAUCAUCUCCACAAAGCCAUCAACAUCGAAGCACGGAUCCUGGGAUGCCUCCUCCAAAAUCGAAAUAAUGUACGAAAGCACGAUUUCGUCCACAACACUAAAGUCGGCCCCCGGAAUGUGGCCGCUGAUAAAUUGCACCAAGCUACGCUUCACCAUCUCGUGCUGCUUCUCUAGAUUGGUCAUAAUGGCUAUAUAGUUUAAAUGGACUUCUAGAAGUGUAUUUUGCUGGAUC